rnacentral:rRNA from 1 species
GACGAACGCUGGCGGCGUGCCUAAUACAUGCAAGUCGAGCGCGGGAAGCAGACUGAAGCCUUCGGGCGGACGUCUGUGGAACGAGCGGCGGAUGGGUGAGUAACACGUGGGCAACCUGCCUGUAAGCUCGGGAUAACUAGCGGAAACGCUAGCUAAUACCGAAUAACGCUGCGCACCGCAUGGCGCGCAGAUGAAAGGCGGCGCAAGCUGCCACUUACAGAUGGGCCCGCGGCGCAUUAGCUAGUUGGUGGGGUAACGGCCUACCAAGGCGACGAUGCGUAGCCGACCUGAGAGGGUGAUCGGCCACACUGGGACUGAGACACGGCCCAGACUCCUACGGGAGGCAGCAGUAGGGAAUAUUCCGCAAUGGGCGAAAGCCUGACGGAGCGACGCCGCGUGAGCGAUGAAGGUCUUCGGAUCGUAAAGCUCUGUUGUUAGGGAAGAACAAGUACCGGAGUAACUGCCGGUACCUUGACGGUACCUAACCAGAAAGCCCCGGCUAACUACGUGCCAGCAGCCGCGGUAAUACGUAGGGGGCGAGCGUUGUCCGGAAUUAUUGGGCGUAAAGGGCGCGUAGGCGGUCUCUUAAGUCUGAUGUGAAAGCCCCCGGCUUAACCGGGGAGGGUCAUUGGAAACUGGGAGACUUGAGUGCAGGAGAGGGAAGCGGAAUUCCGUGUGUAGCGGUGAAAUGCGUAGAGAUAUGGAGGAACACCAGUGGCGAAGGCGGCUUCCUGGCCUGUAACUGACGCUGAGGCGCGAAAGCGUGGGGAGCAAACAGGAUUAGAUACCCUGGUAGUCCACGCCGUAAACGAUGGAUACUAGGUGUAGGAGGGUAUCGACCCCCUUCUGUGCCGUAGUUAACGCAAUAAGUAUCCCGCCUGGGGAGUACGGCCGCAAGGCUAA